rnacentral:rRNA from 1 species
CAACAGCUCAAAUUUGAAAUCUGGCCCUCGGGUCCGAAUUGUAAUUUGUAGAGGAUGAUUUUGGUGCGGUAUCUUCCGAGUUCCUUGGAACAGGACGCCUUAGAGGGUGAGAGCCCCGUACGGUUGAAUGCCUAGCCUCUGUAAAUCUCCUUCGACGAGUCGAGUAGUUUGGGAAUGCUGCUCUAAAUGGGAGGUAAAUUUCUUCUAAAGCUAAAUAUUGGCCAGAGACCGAUAGCGCACAAGUAGAGUGAUCGAAAGAUGAAAAGCACUUUGAAAAGAGGGUUAAAUAGCACGUGAAAUUGUUGAAAGGGAAGGAUUUGUGACCAGACUUUUUCUGGGCGGAUCAUCCGGGGUUCUCUCCGGUGCACUUUGCCCAGUAAAGGCCAGCAUCGAUUUUCGGCGGCGGAUAAAAGCAGUGGGAAUGUGGCUCCCUACGGGGAGUGUUAUAGCCCAUUGUAUAAUACGCUGCUGGGGAUCGAGGUACGCGCUUCUGCAAGGAUGCUGGCGUAAUGGUUAUCAAUCACCCGUCUUGAAAACACGGACCAAGGGAGUCGAACAUUUAUGCGAGUGUUUGGGUGUUAAACCCUCACGCGUAAUGAAAGUGAACGGAGGUGAGAGCCCGUACGGGUGCAUCAUCGACCGAUCCUGAAGUUUUCGGAUGGAUUUGAGUAAGAGCAUAACUGUUCGGACCCGAAAGAUGGUGAACUAUGCGUGGAUAGGGUGAAGCCAGAGGAAACUCUGGUGGAGGCUCGCAGCGGUUCUGACGUGCAAAUCGAUCGUCAAAUCUGCGCAUGGGGGCGAAAGACUAAUCGAACCAUCUAGUAGCUGGUUACCGCCGAAGUUUCCCUCAGGAUAGCAGUGUUGUCUUCAGUUUUAUGAGGUAAAGCGAAUGAUUAGGGACUCGGGGGCGCUUUUUAGCCUUCAUCCAUUCUCAAACUUUAAAUAUGUAAGAAGCCCUUGUUACUUAAUUGAACGUGGGCAUUCGAAUGUACCAACACUAGUGGGCCAUUUUUGGUAAGCAGAACUGGCGAUGCGGGAUGAACCGAACGCGGGGUUAAGGUGCCGGAGUGGACGCUCAUCAGACACCACAAAAGGUGUUAGUACAUCUUGACAGCAGGACGGUGGCCAUGGAAGUCGGAAUCCGCUAAGGACUGUGUAACAACUCACCUGCCGAAUGUACUAGCCCUGAAAAUGGAUGGCGCUCAAGCGUCCCACCCAUACCUCGCCCUCAGGGUAGAAAUGAUGCCCUGAGGAGUAGGCGGCCGUG